UAAAAUUUGUGGGAUCUCCAAAUGGCGGUGAUGCGGGGUCAGUGAGCCGAGGAGUCGAAAGAAAGAUUUCUUAGACUCUCAAGAUCUGGCAGUAGUGCUCUUUUAUUUAGAGAAUAGUGUGGAAUAGCAUGGGGACAGGACCCAUGGGCAGUAAGAGCUUCUGCUGCCCCCACUGGCAUGGGGACAGGGCCCAUGGAUAGGCAGAGCAGCUGCUGCUGCCCCCGCUGGCAUGGGGACAGGACCCAUGGGCAGGCAGAGCUCCUGCUGCUGCUCCGAGUUGAGGGUUAGGGCUAAUUUUAUAAGGCAUGGGUACGUGACUUAUUUUUACUGGAAAAAAAGAAAUGAUGAUGUAAAAAGUCAUUAAAUGAUUUCAGUGCAGAUGGGGUCUGGUUAUUGUGCGGUCAUAUAACUUUAGAUACGAAUCUGGCCAUAUAGAUCGGCAUGCAGGUGAGGAUGCCCUGGGCUUCUCUCCCUGGGGCAGUCCUAAUUCAUACCAUAAAAAAAGUCCACUGGGUCACAUAGUUUGGCAUGUAGGCCAGGUCACCUUGGGCUUCUCUGGCUGGGGCAGCCUUAAUCCACAUCAGCGGGACCCUAUGGACACUGAAACCAUUUGAACUUUUUAACAUAUUCUUUGUCUUGUAAAGAGAUAACUCACAUACCUAUGCCUUAAAUUUAGCCUUACUCUCCACCUAACUUUGCAGCAGAGGCAGCAGAAGCAGCAGCAGAAGCGGCAGCAGCAACAUGCCAGCAGCAGCUCUGCCUGCCCAUGGGUCCUGUCCCCAUGCCAGCGGCGGCAGCAGCAGCUCCCCCAUGCCAGCAGCAUCUCUGACUGCCCUCAGGUCCUGUCCCCACGCAGCAGCUGCGACUGCCCAUGGGUCGUGUCCCCAUGGCAGCAGCAGAAGCUCUGACUGCCCAUGGGUCCUGUCCCCAUGCUGUUCUAUACUAUUCUCUACAUAAAAGAGCACUACUGCCAGAUCUUAAGAGUCUAAGAAAUCUUUCUUUCUACUCCUCAGCUCACAGACCCUGCAUCAUUUCUGGUGGCCUGUACGGGGAUUUGCUUCAUCGGCUUGUGAGCUCGAGUUCUGGUCAUGGCAAACUGACAGUCUCUGACUCACAGAAAAAGAAAGAAGGCUUUGCUGAACACAGCUUACCAACAGCAGGUAAGGAACAUCUUCCUUUUGAGUUUUAAAACCUUUUCCCUACAGCCAGGACAGACUAUCUAUAACAUCCAGUCACUGAGAAAACACUGCAGUCAAAAACUCUUGCUUGUAGCUCUUUAGGACCAUCUUGAAAAGUGAGUUUCCAAACUUUGCAGUUCACUUCGUCCAAACAGGGGCUCUUUCACAUAGAAAGGUGGCCUCACUGAAUGCAGCGUCGCAUUAGGUGGAAAGGAACAUCUUCCAUUCAGCGACAUUGGACUUUACAGCAAUGAAAAGAUAUCUAGGACAACCAGUCCUUGAAAGAAGAGGGUGGACCAAAACUCUCACUUUGAGCAGCUUAAGAUCAUCUAGAAAAGUGACUUUUCUAACUUUGCAGUUCAUGGCAUACUGAAAGGGUCUCUCCCACAUAGAAAGAGAGAAGGCAUUACUGAACACAGUUUGCCAUGCCUCUAAUGGAAAGAUUUCCUUUCAGAUUUUUAAAUCUUUCCUCUCUAGCUAGGACAGGAUGUCUGUACCAUCCGUGACAGGAGAGACCUCUGUGUAGAAUAACUCCUGCUUGCACAUGGUAAAGAUCAUCUUGAAAUUGCCUUUUCAAAAUCGCAGUUCACAGCUUACCGAUAGAGACUCUGUCUCAUAGAAAGAAAGGUCUCGUUGAACCCAGCUUAACCUUUGGAGCUAAGGAAGAUCUUCUUUGAAGCAUUUUUAGACUUAACAACAGGGUCAAAAUAUCUAUGACAUCCAAUGCAUGAGAGAAGAGUGUGACCUAAAACGCUUGCUUACAGCUCCCAAGGAUCUCUUGAAUUGGACUUUUCUAGCUUGGCAGUUCAGAGCAUACUGACAGAAUCUCUCUGUCAUAGAAAGAAAUAAGUUCCUGCUGAAUGCAAUUUGACAGUAGGUGGUAAGGAACAUCCUCCUUGCUUCAGUUUUUACAUUUUAUAGCAGAGACAGAACAUCUGUGAUAUCCAGUCCAUGAAAGAAGAGGGUAAAGUUCUUGCUUCAAGCUCCUUAGGAUCAUCUAGAAAGACAACU
rnacentral:lncRNA from 1 species